UCGCUACUACCGAUUGAAUGUCUUAGUGAGUGCCCUGGAUUGGCUACUUGGUCUGUAAAGGCCUUGUGGUCGAGAAGGGGCGCUAACUUGAACAUUUAGAGGAAGUAA
rnacentral:rRNA from 1 species